CAAUCUCUGCUCACUGCAACCUCAGCCUCCUGGGUUCAGUGAUUCUCCUGCCUCAGCCUCCCAAGUAGCUGGGAUUACAGGUGACUGCCACCACGCUCGGCUAAUUUUUGUAUUUUUAGUAGAGAUGGGAUUUCACCAUGUUGGCCACACUGGUCUCGAACUCCUGACCUCAGGUGAUAUGCCCGUCUUGGCCUCCCAAAGUGCUGGAAUUACAGGCAUAAGCCAACAUGCUCAGCCUAUUUCUCUUUUUUGUAGAAUGUUUUUAGACCUUUAUUCUUUGCAUAAAAAACUUUCAGAUCCCCUUUUUCCAGAAAAUCUUCAAAAUUUGUUCAUUUAUUAAAGAAUUUCUUCAAGAUGUUUCAUCUUAAUCCAAACUUUCCACAUUCCUGAGUUGAGCUGUAUUCUUCACUCUAAAUUAGUGGUAAUUCCAGAAAUUUAGUGGCAUAAAAUAUUUUUGUCCCCACCUGAAAAUCGAAUUGCCACCACCAAUUUUUGAUUCAGCAGUACCAGGUAGUAAAAUUAAGAAACCCACAAAUUGAAAGUAUUUUCUAAAUAUUUAGAAAUUUCUGUUAUAACUUAGUAUUUUGCUAUUAAUUUGCUAGAAUAUUUUAUCACAUUCUCUCUGCUGAGCACAUUACUAGCUUGUAAUUGGAGAAUAUGAGAAAAAUUUAUGUAUUUAUUUUUAAUAAAACAGGUAUUGUU
rnacentral:lncRNA from 1 species